GAGCCAACAAAUUUGUUGGAUAACAAAUUGGCAUCCAUCUCCAACGUGGGCUGGACAUUUCUCACCUAGUUUUGUGGCAUCACCUGUCCUACGGCUGCUUCCCGUGGGCAGAGCCUGUUGUAGGUGCGGCCAGCAGCACUUGAGCCUGUGUGGGAGUCACGGGCCCCAACCAUGCUGGCAUCUCUGCUUCUCACGCCCCUCCCUAAAUGGAGAAAAUAGAAUACCUGUCUCUUAGUAUUCGGAGAUUACAGUAGACCCCAUCUGUGAAGUGUGGUGCCUGGACACGGUGAACCAGCAACAUAAGCGCUGGAGCCACAGCCAUGACCACAAGCUGGAAAGAAGCAUUGCGUGGGUGGAGCAGGAAGUGUCUAGGUUGCACAUGGGGGUCACUGGUAGACAAUGAGCUGGCUGCUGUGGUCCAGGCUGGCCUGGAAGCGGGGAGCAUUAGCAGUCAAAAAUUUUGAAAAAAAGAAGAACACGAAAUGAUUCUAUAAGCUGGAAAGCAGGUGGAUGGGUAUGAACGGAGGAGAAAGGACAGAAGAGUCCAGCCCGGGACAUCGCCAGAGGGAGGCUCAGGCUGCUGGUACCUCCCUCAACCAGAGGGGCACAGGCUGCGAGCUGGCAGAAAUUCUACAAGCUUUUCUUGUGGAGUUUCCUGAGGAAGUACUCCAGCAAAACAAGGAGGAAAAUCAAGAAGGAAGGAUCCAAGAAACAGGCUCUUGGUGAAGGGAAGUCCUCAGAGGACAUGGAUGCAGCAACCUGGGGGACCCCUGGUCAGGAGAUGACAUUUCCUCUGUGUGUAUGCAGAGAGAGAGAGAGACAGACAGACACAGAGAGAACUCCGGCAUCUCCUCCUUCUCUUGUAAGGAGACAGGCAAGUAGGGUUGCCAGGAGCUAGUGGCUCAGAAUGACAGAAAUCUGUUGUCUCACAGGGUCUGCAGGCCAGAAAUCCCAGUUGUAUUGGAUCAGGACCCACCGUCAUUCAGCAUGACCUCACUUGAACUUGAUCAUGUCUGCAAAGACCUUGUUUCCCAAUAAAGGACACAUUUACAGUGAUUUUUUUUCUAAGGGGAGGUUUACUUAUCCCUCACUGAUGGUGUUGAAGAAAAAUGGGGCAGGAGAGGAUGACUGUGUACUGCUCUCUGGUGAGUCCCUGGGAUGGGCCACUAAGUGAGGGUCUACAGCUUUUCGUGGGAAAGAAUUCAAGAGUGAGACUAGUAAAGGGAAAGCAGGUUUACUGAGAGAGACACACUCCACAGACACAGUGUGGGCAUCUCAGAAGGCUAGAGGCAGCUGGGAAAUAUGGAGUGGUUAGCUCUUGCUGCUGUUAAGUCACUUCAGUCGUGUCUGACUCUGCGUGACCCCAGAGAUGGGAGCCCACCAGGCUCCCCCGUCCCUGGGAUUCUCUAGGCAAGAACACUGGAGUGGGUUGUCAUUUCCUUCUCCAAUGCAUGAAAGUGAAAAGUGAAAGGGAAGUCGCUCAGUCGUGUCCGAUUCUUCGCGACCCCAUGGACUGCAGCCUACCAGGCUCCUCCAUCCAUGGGAUUUGCCAGGCAAGAGUACUGGAGUGGGGUGCCAUUGCCUUGGGUAAUUUCACAGGCUAACUACUGGGAGAAAGCGGGUGGAUUUCCAGGCUUUGGGGCCCCACCCACUUUUGGCCUUUUAUGGUUCCCCGGAACUGUCAUGGCGCCUGUGGGCAUGGCUUAGAUGCUAAUAUAUUACAAUGAGCGUAUAAUGAGGCAGACCUUCCACCAGAAGUCCAACCUUCCACCAUUUUGGGCCCAUUCAGGCUCUGCCAGCUUUAGGUCAAGUCGCCCACUGCCUUUUAGCGGCCGUACCCUACCCCUUCCAUAUUGUUUCACUGGAAGUUGAGGAGCAGUUAGGAGACACACUGUGUAGAGCCAGCGGCCACCUGGGGCCCAUGUGAAGGCGGACGGCACCCAGGCGUGGGGCUGCCAGAGACACCCUCAGGACCUAGCUGAGGAGGAGCCAGGACCGCCCGCCUCUGGAGCCCCCGCGAACCCGUGAGACUAGGGAAAUGAUGUUAAAUGAAAAGCGAAUUUGAGUGAGUUUCCUAUUCGAGUUCAGAAUGGGUCAUAAAGCAGUAGAGCAACUUGCAACAUCAACAGCGCAUUUGGCCCAGGAACUGCUAAUGAAUGUUACAGUGCAGUGGUGGUUCAAGAAGUUUUGCAAAGGAGAUGAGACCCUUGAAGAUGAGAAGCACAGUGGCUGGCCAUCGAAAGUUGACAAUGACUAAUUGAGAGUUAUCAUCAAAGCUAAUCCUCUUAUAACUACAUGAGAAGUUGCCAAAGAACUCAACAUUGACUAUUCUACAGUAAUUUGGCAUUUGAAGUAAAGUGGGUGCCCCGCGAGCUGACUGCAAAUCAGAAAAAUUGUUUUGAAGUGUGGUCUUCUCUCAUUCUAUUCAACAGCAAACAAACCAUUUCUCUUUGGAUUGUGACAUGCAACAAAAAGUGGAUUUUAUAUGAUAACCACUGAUGACCCCUCAGUGACUGAACCUAGAAAAGCACUUCCCAAACUUGCACCAAAAAAAGGUCAUGGUCACUGUUUGUUGGUCUGCUGCCCAUCUCAUCCACUACAACUUUCUGAACCCAGGUGAAACCAUUACAUCUGAGAAGUAUGCUCAGCAAAUCGACCAGAUGCACCCAAAAUUGUCAUACCUGCAUCUGGCAUUGGUCAACAGAAUAGGCCCAGUUCUUCACCAUGACAAUGUCUGACCACACAUUGCACAAUCAACACUUAAACAUUGAACGAACUGGGCUACAAAGCUUUGCCUCAUCUGCCAUUCUCACCUGACUUCUCACUAGCGGACUAGCAUUUCUUCAAGCAUCUUGUCAACUUUUUGCAGGGAAGAUGCUUCCACAACCAGCAGGAUGCAUAAAAUGGUUUCCAAGAGUUUGUUGAAUCCUAAAGCAUAGAUUUUUAACCUUCAGGGAUAAACAAACUUAUUUCUCGUUGGCAAAAAUGUGUUGAUUGUAGUGGUUCCUAUUUUGAUUAAUAAAGAUGUGUUUGAGUAUGGAUAUAAUUAUUUAAAAUUCACGGUCCAAAACCAAAAUUACGUUUGCACCAAUCUAAUAGUAUCUUCAGAGAAAUUUGGGUGAGAUUUUGCAUCCACAAAAUCAGAACUGGUUGCUAUGAAAAGAGAAUCAGAAGCAGUGGUUUUUGUUUGUUUGGUUUCUGGCUUAGAGCAGCAGCAGCAGUCCUAGAGGCUGGAAAUCAGGUGUUGGCAGGGCUGUGUUCCUUCUGAGGGCUCUAGGGGAGAAUCAUGAGGCUUUUGGAAGCUAAGCAUUCGGACAGAGGGCUGAGAGACAAAGCUGAGGAGACCAUUUGGAUGUGAAACACAGGGACGAAGAGAUUUAAAAUAUAAGAGAAAACAUAAGGGACCUAUAGCAUUACUCCAAGAGAGCCCCACCCAGGCUAUCCAUUUUUAGACAGAAGAUGGAGAGAAAAAUAUUACCAAAAAAAAAAAAAAAGCAAACUUUUUGUUCUUUCUUUUAAAAAUUUUAUUAAAAUAUAGUAGAUUUAUAAUGACUAACAAAUUUUUAGAUUUGUUAGUCGCAAGUAUGUAGUAAUUUAGUUAUAUGUAUAAACUAUAUAGCUAUAUAUUCCUUUUUCUACAUUCUCUUCCAUUGUAGGUUAUUACAAGAUAUUGAGUGAGUAUAGUUCCCUGUGGUAUACAGUCAGUCCUUGUUAUGUAUUUCAUAUAUUUGUAGUUGUUGUUUAGUUGCUAAUUCAUGUCUGACUCUUUUGCGACCCCAUGGACUGUAGCCUGCCAGGCACCUUUGUCCGUGGGAUUUCCCAGGCAAGAAUACUGGAGUGGGUGGCCAUUUCCUUCUCCGGGGGAUGGUCACAACCCAGUGGUUGAACUCACAUGUUCUGCAUCUGCAUUGGCAGGUGAAUUCUUUACCACUGAGCCACCCGGGAAAGCCCGCAUUUAUAUAUAGUAGUGUGUAUGUUUUAAUCCCCAGCUCCUAAUUUAUCCCUCUCCCCCAUCUCCUUUGUUUUCUAUAUCUGUGAAUCUGUUUCUGUUUUGUAAAUAAGUUAAUUUACAUCCUUUUUAAAUUGCACCUACAGCUUAUAUCAUAUGUUAAUUUGUCUUUCUCUGUUUGACUUGCUUCACUUGGUGUGAUAAUCUUGCAUGUUGCUGCAAGUGGCAUAAUUUCGUUCUUUUUUA
ensembl:lncRNA